CCAUUUCCCCUCUUUACAAUCACUGUCAGGAAGGGCAGCCAUUCCUGUUUCUGUCUGCUUUUUCUUCUUGUGGCCUCCUCGGUACCGAGAACAGUGCCUGACCUAUAACGGCAUUCGCAAAGAUCCUGCAAAAGCCAUAGAUGUGGCCAGCGCUAUGCAGAGAUUCCAUCCCAGGUCUGUACGAUGAUAAGAUGUCCCAAGUCAUCACCUUGUAGCGCCUUCCUGAAUAUCUGACAAGGAAUGAAGCACAGUGGCAAGAAAUGAUGUCAAACACGAUAAAAUGUUACCAGGACAAGAGGGUGAUUUUUUUGCAAGCCUGUGACGUGGGAAAUCUGGGCCUAUUAUGAAUGAGGAAUUUCCAGAAUGUGCUUUUGAAAGUUUUUCAGAGUAACUCAAGUGCUGUGGGUGCUAUGAGUGAGGGGGAGAUGUAAUCACAACCAGCUGGAAAGUGUUGGCCAGCCGGUUUUUCUUUACAUCCUCUACGUGACUUCAAGUCUAUCUAUGGCUAGGAUAUCCUUGAGCAACUCGGAAGAGAAGAGUGAGAAAAGCAUCGCAUUAUUCUAUUCUUCUUCAUGAAUGUCAUUCAAAUAAAGUUGUUGAAGAAGAACCCAACUACCACUACUGUUUGAUAAGGGCUGUUGAAAGUGACAGGAUGGUGACAGCUGCCUUUGGGAAAGAAGGACCCUCUCGGCUGCCAGAGAGUUGGCUUGGCCGCACAGCAUUAUAGAGGCAUGUGUGAACAGUAGUGUGUGAGGAUCUGUGUGUGUGUGUGUGUGUGUGUUUCACUCGGGAGGACCAGACACAGUAGAAGAGAAUAGGAAACUGGAAGGUCAAAAGGGAGUUCACAGGAUUUUAUUUGAAAUUGUCCCCUAUUAGCACGAAUGGGUGUCAUUCUGCUUUCUAUUAAAGCCAUUUUGUCAAACUAGCUUGUUUUAUUCAGUUGCAAGUAAAGAGGCUAGUUAGGGAGAGGAAGAGCGUAGCACCAUGGUUUAGGGGUGAAUUUGGGUCACACAGACCUGGGUUUGCUUCUUGGUUCUGUCCCACUUCCAAAUUAUAUAAUUUUGGUCAUAUUACAUAACCUCUGUGAGCUCUGAUCUCUCCUCUAUAAAACUGAAGUAAUAAUUCCUAUCUGUGAGGAUUAUUUAAAAUGCUGAAAAGAUGAUGCAUACAAGAUGCUGACUGAUUGCAUCUAGAACAUAACACACAUCAACAUAGGCCAGGGGCAUUAUCUGAUUAUUAUUAUUUGUCACUCCUCCUAUCGCUAGGGAUUUCUGUGUACUUCCUGGACUCUAAACUGUAGGCAGGCAGAAUUCAUGCCUAAUUCCUUUUUAUCUCCCACAGCAGCACAAUACCUAGGCCAUAAA